AAGAACUCAAGUAGUUAGACGUUUAUAUUUAUGCUCUUAUUUUGAAGUGAAAGUACUUCCCCUCAUUAUCUAUCAUUUUUUCCCCCAAUAACUUUAUCUAAAACAAGAAACAUACAGGAACAAAAUAACUUGGAGAGCAAAAUAUAGAUCGCAUGUUGGCAGACGCAAGGCGUAUGUGGAGCACAGCUUCCUCACAUCUCCGCUUCGCAGCAUUAUUUAUAUCUGGUCCCGUCUUCAUCAUCUUCAUCAUCGCAGGAGAAGAAAGCGAGAAGGUGGAGGACGAAACGCCGUUUUUUUCUUUCCUCAGCAUCAUGGAGAAGCUGCCAAGGCCUCCAGCUGUGCGGGCCGCGCCGCCUCGUCCAAACUGUCAGAGCUGCAGCUUGAUCUUAUUCCUGCGAGCCGAGCCGAACCGAGCCGAGCUGAGGGAGCGGCCGGCCGACGGGCGGCUUCAAACCAGAUCCCACUUCACCGUGACACCUUCGGGUCGGCGCGUCUCUACUGAUUCCUGACAGCAGUGACAGUCAGAAGAAGAAGAAAAACACUGGAGCGUUGCAUAAGUUAAAUAAAAAUUGGGUUCAACAAUG